GAUGAACGCUGGCGGCGUGCCUAAUACAUGCAAGUCGAGCGAACAGACGAGGAGCUUGCUCCUUUGACGUUAGCGGCGGACGGGUGAGUAACACGUGGGUAACCUACCUAUAAGACUGGGAUAACUUCGGGAAACCGGAGCUAAUACCGGAUAAUAUUUCGAACCGCAUGGUUCGAUAGUGAAAGAUGGCUUUGCUAUCACUUAUAGAUGGACCUGCGCCGUAUUAGCUAGUUGGUAAGGUAACGGCUUACCAAGGCAACGAUACGUAGCCGACCUGAGAGAGUGAUAGGCCACACUGGAAGGGAGACAGGGUCAAGACUCCUACGGGAGGCAGCAGAAGGGAAUCUGACGCAAUGGGCGAAAGCAUGACGGAGCAACGCCGCGUGAGAGAUAAAGGUGUUCGGAGCGUAAAAAUCUGUUAUUAGGGAAGAACAAACGUGUAAGUAACUGUGCAGGGCGUGACGGUACCUAAUCAAAAAGCCACGGCUAACUACGUG
rnacentral:rRNA from 1 species